rnacentral:snRNA from 1 species
GUGCUGGCUUUAUCAGCACACAUAUAAAAUUUGAAAUAAUACAGAGAAAAUAACAUGACCCCUGCACAAGUGGAUAUAACUAACCAAUAUCUGAUUUGACUUAAG